rnacentral:piRNA from 1 species
UAGGAGAUACUCGUCACUAGAUGAGCUC